CACUCCUACGGGAGGCAGCAGUGGGGAAUUUUGGACAAUGGGCGAAAGCCUGAUCCAGCAAUGCCGCGUGUGUGAAGAAGGCCUUCGGGUUGUAAAGCACUUUUGUCCGGAAAGAAAUCCUUGGCUCUAAUACAGUCGGGGGAUGACGGUACCGGAAGAAUAAGCACCGGCUAACUACGUGCCAGCAGCCGCGGUAAUACGUAGGGUGCGAGCGUUAAUCGGAAUUACUGGGCGUAAAGCGUGCGCAGGCGGUUUGCUAAGACCGAUGUGAAAUCCCCGGGCUCAACCUGGGAACUGCAUUGGUGACUGGCAGGCUAGAGUAUGGCAGAGGGGGGUAGAAUUCCACGUGUAGCAGUGAAAUGCGUAGAGAUGUGGAGGAAUACCGAUGGCGAAGGCAGCCCCCUGGGCCAAUACUGACGCUCAUGCACGAAAGCGUGGGGAGCAAACAGGAUUAGAAACCCCGGUAGUCCCA
rnacentral:rRNA from 1 species